CGAGGAAGGGGACGGCAAGAGGAGGCCCGCCCCGGGCGGCCGGUAGCCAAGUGUCCGCUGGCGCCCUCUGCUGGCCAGGAGGAGUCACUGCGGCCUCGCUGAGGCAUGGGCCGGGUCUGGAGCCAAGUAGGGAAGACACAAUGGCGCUAAACAGCCUGGCCCCCGUAUUUUCUGUGCCACUCCACCCCAUUCCCCUCGCAGAGCUGGAGACUAGGUGUUCAAUGUCGACGGAAUGAAUACAUGAAAUCGUUCAUGUAAUCUUCACAACAACCCUUCGAGGAGUACAGGGAGACCCAGAGAGCUGAAGUUCUCGAAUCACUGGGCUGGUGAAUGGAUUAGAAUCUACGUUUCCUAACAGCCGAGACCCACCUCCACAUCUCUCAUGAAAGGGACUGGGUGAAUCAACAAAGUGAGACUUCAUAUUAAUAUAAUACUACUAAUAAUAAUUAAUGUUUUUAAUAUUAAAAGAAAUGGAC
rnacentral:lncRNA from 1 species